rnacentral:rRNA from 1 species
UACGGAGGAUCCGAGCGUUAUCCGGAUUUAUUGGGUUUAAAGGGAGCGUAGGUGGAUUGUUAAGUCAGUUGUGAAAGUUUGCGGCUCAACCGUAAAAUUGCAGUUGAAACUGGCAGUCUUGAGUACAGUAGAGGUGGGCGGAAUUCUUGGUGUAGCGGUGAAAUGCUUAGAUAUCACGAAGAACUCCGAUUGCGAAGGCAGCUCACUGGACUGCAACUGACACUGAGGCUCGAAAGUGUGGGUAUCAAACAGG